UCCCUGGUGGUCCAGUGGUUAGGAUUCCAGACUUAAACUGCUGGGGGCCCAGGUUUGAUCCCUGGUCAGGGAA